GUUGCUGCUCUGAGGCUGGUAGGUUGAGGUCAAAGACGCCGUAAUCAUGUGGACCAUCAAAGAUGAUAUCUCCAUCUUGUAGGCCAUCAGAAGCUUGUAAGUUGUGCUCGAAUAUAUUGUAGUCAUGUGGACCAUCAAAAUUGAUAUCUCCACAUUGUAGGUCAUCUGAAGCUACAAGGACUACAACAAGGAGGGACAGGGGUAGGCAAUUGGAUGUCCCCAAUAGCAAGGACUUGUAAGAAUUGAAUUAAGAGAGAUAUUACCUGUAUCAGGAUCUUGUUGCUGUCCCUCACAAGCAGGAACGUUGAGAUCUAUGACAUGCAUAGCGCUGUGUUCCCCUUCAUAGAGAUACUGGACUUGACCUUGGAGUUGAUGGACUUCAUUUCCUUCUUAGAGAUGAACUUGAUCUUCAUGAAGAUGGUGGAUUUCGUCUCUCUGAGGUUCUUCAUUGAGGUCAGGCUGAGGAAGAUGGAGUCGAUUGAUGCUGUGGAGUUUGGACCAAUUGGAGCAAGUGGAUGCCUCACAAGCAGGUGGAGUCUUUUGUAGUGGGAGCAUUGGUGGAGAGUUAAAAUUUGAAUCUCCAGGCACACUGAGCGCCAAAGAGUUCCUGGAAGCGCCCAAAGAGUUCCUAGAAGUUUCUGUACUGGUCUUUGAUGGCCUUUUGUAUGCUGCCACGUGUUUGGUUUUUUAUUUGCAUGUGCACUGUAACCUGCACAUGGCUGAUACAUUUAUAGGGGUAUUAUGGUAAUUUUGCAUGAACAUUAUGAUCCCUAGUUUAAACCUAUACGUCCAC